GGUGACGUCACGCGCGCGUCUAGGGUCCGGGCCUCGGAGCUCUCGCGGUCGCGGUCGCCGCCGCUGUCGUCGCCGUGGCCGUCUGGGCCCUGCGACCCGCCCGGGCUGCAGCAGCAUGUACCACAGCAGCAGCCAGAAGCGGCACUGGACCUUUGCCGGCGAGGAGCAGCUGGCGCGCCUGCGGGCCGACGCCAACCGCAAGUUCAAGUGCAAAGCGGUGGCUAACGGGAAGGUUCUUCCAAAUGAUCCAGUGUUUCUUGAGCCUUAUGAAGAAAUUACACUUUGCAAGUACUAUGAGAAAAGAUUGCUGGAAUUCUGUUCCGUGUUUAAGCCAGCAAUGCCACGAUCCGUUGUGGGUACAGCUUGUAUGUAUUUCAAGCGUUUUUAUCUUAAUAACUCAGUAAUGGAGUAUCACCCCCGGAUAAUAAUGCUCACUUGUGCAUUUCUGGCCUGCAAAGUAGAUGAAUUCAAUGUGUCUAGUCCUCAGUUUGUUGGAAAUCUUCGAGAGAGUCCCCUUGGACAGGAGAAAGCGCUAGAGCAGAUUUUGGAAUAUGAACUACUACUUAUACAGCAGCUUAAUUUUCACCUUAUUGUCCACAAUCCUUAUCGACCAUUUGAAGGCUUCCUCAUUGAUAUAAAGACGCGGUACCCCAUGUUGGAGAAUCCAGAGAUGUUGAGGAAAACAGCUGAUGAUUUUCUUAGUAGAAUUGCGUUGACAGAUGCUUAUCUUUUAUACACACCUUCUCAAAUUGCCCUGACUGCCAUUUUAUCAAGUGCUUCUAGGGCUGGAAUUACUAUGGAAAGCUAUUUAUCAGAGAGUCUAAUGCUGAGAGAAAAUAGAACUUGCCUGUCACAGUUACUGGAUAUAAUGAAAAGCAUGAGAAACCUAGUAAAAAAGUAUGAGCCACCCAGGUCUGAAGAAGUUGCUGUUCUGAAACAGAAGUUGGAACGAUGUCAUUCUGCUGACCUUGCGCUUAAUGUGGUUACGAAGAAGAGGAAAGGCUAUGAAGAUGAUGACUAUGUAUCAAAGAAACCCAGACAAGAAGAGGAGGAAUGGACUGAUGAUGACCUGGUAGAUUCUCUCUAACCAUUUGAAGUGACUACGGCAGUGUAAGCAACAGAAGUAGGAAGCAUGUCUGGCAUUUAACUUUAUAUUUUUUCUUGUGAUGCUUUCUAUAUAACUUGAAAAGAGGCUGAAUACUACCUACUUUGGAUAUUCGUAACUCACUAAGAUUAGUAGCAAAUUCUGUCCUACGAUGGCCAAAGUCUAACUGUGGUGUACUUCUUUAUACUGUUUUGAACAAAAUGUGAUUAAACAAACCUACCCAUUUAGAAGAAAUGCAGAAAACAAACCUUAGUUAAUAGGUAAACUUUGGAAGUGAUAAGGAAAUAGAGUUCAUUCUCCAGAAGGUCUUACAAAUGGCUUUUCAAAAUGUUUGCUCAAUAGACUGAACUAAUUGUGAAUUACUACUGCCUGUAGAGUGUAUUGGGCAGCUGUUUAGUGCUUAGGCACUCUUAUUCUAAGGAGUCACUGACAUCUGGGUUUAAAUAAACUUUUUGAGUCUAGAUAAAAAUCUUAAAUUACUACAAAUAAGUGAUAGCAAAUUAUAUACUCACUUUUAUCAUUAAAUGAUCAUAUCUAAGUGAGUCUAUAUAAAAUAGGCAUUAUGGUCACUAGGAAUUUGUAGAUGAGAUACAUUCAAAAGUUUAAAAAUGAAAUAAUUUAAUUACAUUAAAUUAUUUAGGUAUGCCUGGAUUUCUCUAUGACUUUAGUAAAUUAUACCUCAGUGUGCUACUUUCCCAAGUAGAGAAUGGGGAAAAGGGUGAUGCAUACUCCUGGUAGGAUUAUUCACAGCAGGGCUAUGCAUGCUAGUAUGUAUUUGUUGUGCAUUAAUACUGUCUUAAUGUAGUAAGUGGUAGAUAUUACAGUUAGGACCAAAUUGCAGAUAGGUGUAUAUUAUUAGGCAAGUGUUUUGUUUUUUUGGAUCACCCUCCCCCCCCCAAACUGGCCUGAAGAAUUCUGAGAAACUGAACUACCUCAAAUGUAAAUCUACCCAGCUUUACAUAUUCCACGAUACACUUCCCAGGAGGGUAGGUAGCAUUUUAGUUUAUCUUAAAAUGUGGUAUUUAUGUUCAUGUUCAUCUCUAGUAGUUACUUUUAUGGCUUGAGUUUCUGGUUGUUUUCAUUUUUGUUCUGGAAUAAAAUUGAUGAAGUGCAAUGCUUUAUAAUAGAAUAAAAACCAAAGCUUAUAUGCCCAACUAUAGUUCAAGUUAAAGCAGCAUGAUAGACUGUAAACUAAUGGUCACAGUGUGUCUCCUGUUUCUCUUUCAGAUCACUGAAGUUUAGCAUCAGAGCAAAGUCCACAUGUACCUCUGAAAAUUUUCUACCUAACCCCAUUAAAAAAAAAAAAGUU